UGGGGAAUAUUGCACAAUGGGGGAAACCCUGAUGUAGCGACGCCGCGUGAAGGAUGAAGUGUUUCGGCAUGUAAACUUCUAUCAGCAGGGAAGAAAAUGACGGUACCUGACUAAGAAGCCCCGGCUAACUACGUGCAAGCAGCCGCGGUAAUACGUAGGGGGCAAGCGUUAUACGGAUUUACUGGGUGUAAAGGGAGCGUAGACGGUUGUGCAAGUCAGAUGUGAAAGUCCAGGGCUCAACCCUGGGACUGCAUUUGAAACUGUGCAACUAGAGUGGCGGAGAGGUAAGUGGAAUUCCUAGUGUAGCGGUGAAAUGCGUAGAUAUUAGGAGGAACACCAGUGGCGAAGGCGACUUACUGGACGAUAACUGACGUUGAGGCUCGAAAGCGUGGGGAGCAAACA
rnacentral:rRNA from 1 species